rnacentral:rRNA from 1 species
AUGAAGUCGGAAUUGCAGUAAUCNCGGAUCAGCAUGCCGCGGUGAAUACGUUCCCGGGCCUUGUACACACCGCCCGUCACACCAUGGGAGCCGGUAAUACCCGAAGUCAGUAGUCCAACCACGUGAGGACGCUGCCGAAGGUAGGAUUGGCGACUGGGGUGAAGUCGUAACAAGGUACC